UUAACUGGAGGAAGGUGGGGAUGACGUCAAGUCCUCAUGGCCCUUAUGUCCUGGGCUACACACGUGCUACAAUGGCGGUGACAGUGGGAAGCUAGGUGGUGACACCAUGCUGAUCUCUAAAAGCCGUCUCAGUUCGGAUUGCACUCUGCAACUCGAGUGCAUGAAGGUGGAAUCGCUAGUAAUCGCGGAUCAGCAUGCCGCGGUGAAUACGUUCCCGGGCCUUGUACACACCGCCCGUCACACCAUGGGAGUUGGUUUGACCUUAAGCCGGUGAGCGAACCGCAAGGACGCAGCCGACCACGGUCGGGUCAGCGACUGGGGGAAGUCGAACAAGAGGCAUGCUAA
rnacentral:rRNA from 1 species